rnacentral:rRNA from 1 species
GAUGAACGCUGGCGGCGUGCCUAACACAUGCAAGUCGAACGGAACUUUUAUGGAUUGAGACUUCGGUCAAUUGGAAGUUUAAGUUUAGUGGCGGACGGGUGAGUAACGCGUGAGUAACCUGCCUUUCACAGGGGGAUAACGUUUGGAAACGAACGCUAAUACCGCAUAAGCGCACAGUAUCGCAUGAUACAGUGUGAAAAACUCCGGUGGUAUAAGAUGGACCCGCGUCUGAUUAGCUAGUUGGUGAGGUAACGGCUCACCAAGGCGACGAUCAGUAGCCGGCCUGAGAGGGUGAACGGCCACAUUGGGACUGAGACACGGCCCAAACUCCUACGGGAGGCAGCAGUGGGGAAUAUUGCACAAUGGGGGGAACCCUGAUGCAGCGACGCCGCGUGAGUGAAGAAGUAUUUCGGUAUGUAAAGCUCUAUCAGCAAGGAAGAAAAUGACGGUACUUGACUAAGAAGCCCCGGCUAACUACGUG